CAGCCAUACAUGCUUAAUUAAUGGUGCAGAACUAGCCAAGGAAGGGACUGUAAGAAACCUUGGAUUGGGCCACAGACAACAACAAUAUGAACGCUCCUAGAUUAUUGCUGAUCGUCUCAUGAAUACAUCUGCUCCUGUACCAAAAAUGGAAGAGGAAGAUAGGAAACACCAUGGCUUCAAAUACGAUGACUACAAACCAGCUCCUGAUGUCAGGAUUGAGCAGUGAAUUCUUCCUGAAUUGUAACCAAACAACCAAGUUGUUUC